rnacentral:rRNA from 1 species
GACGAACGCUGGCGGCGUGCUUAACACAUGCAAGUCGAACGGAAAGGCCCUGCUUGCAGGGUGCUCGAGUGGCGAACGGGUGAGUAACACGUGGGUGAUCUGCCCCUUACUUUGGGAUAAGCCUGGGAAACUGGGUCUAAUACUGGAUAGGACCAUGCUGUAGGUGGUGUGGAGGAAAGAUUAGUUUCGGUAAGGGAUGAGCUCGCGGCCUAUCAGCUUGUUGGUGGGGUAAUGGCCUACCAAGGCGUCGACGGGUAGCCGGCCUGAGAGGGUGGACGGCCACAUUGGGACUGAGAUACGGCCCAGACUCCUACGGGAGGCAGCAGUGGGGAAUAUUGCACAAUGGGCGCAAGCCUGAUGCAGCGACGCCGCGUGGGGGAUGACGGCCUUCGGGUUGUAAACUCCUUUCAGCCAUGACGAAGCCCUUGUGGUGACGGUAGUGGUAGAAGAAGCACCGGCUAACUACGUG